rnacentral:tRNA from 7 species
GCUGGGGUGGCGGAACUGGCAGACGCGCACGUUUGAGGGGCGUGUUCCUAACGGAAUGCGGGUUCAAUUCCCGCCCCCAGCA